AGGAAGGCUGGCGGCUCUCAUCAUAAGAUCGUCGGCCUUGGUGUGCACUACACCAGGGAAGACGAACCUCCCCAGAUGGCAGCAGUCCAGCCCAAGCACCUCAACGAGAUGCUGAAGCAUGAGAAUUUGUUCACAUUUGCCGGUUUCACCAUUGAAGGCGACAAAGAGAAGAUGAAGAUGGCUGGCCUUCCGACGACCAACUAUAACAAGUACGUUGACAUUCAGCGCUUCUGGAGAGUUCCAUACACCAGAAAAGAGUACUACUCCUUGACUGAUGUUGCAGCCAGCGUCAUCCACCCAUUCUACAAAGGCAUGAAGAAGAAUAUCGACACGCAGGAAGACCACAAAUUGUGGGGGAUCAGCCCGCUGCCAGACAAGCUCAUCGAGUAUGCAGGAAAAGAUGCGUACGCCACGUACAAGUCAUGGAACAUGAUUGACAACAUCAGAAAUGGUUGGGAAAUUUCAAAGGCGCGGGAGUUGACCACUACUACGACCGCCCCUUUUAGGGAU
rnacentral:rRNA from 1 species